UACGUAGGGCGCAAGCGUUGUCCGGAAUUAUUGGGCGUAAAGAGCUCGUAGGCGGCUUGUCACGUCGAUUGUGAAAGCCCGAGGCUUAACCUCGGGUCUGCAGUCGAUACGGGCUAGCUAGAGUGUGGUAGGGGAGAUCGGAAUUCCUGGUGUAGCGGUGAAAUGCGCAGAUAUCGGGAGGAACACCAGUGGCGAAGGCGGCACUCUGGGCCAGUACUGACGCUGAGGAGCGAAAGCGUGGGGAGCGAACAGG
rnacentral:rRNA from 1 species